rnacentral:lncRNA from 1 species
UACGGUAUGCGUUUUACACUUGUAGCACAUCUCAAUUCAGAUUAGCCACAUUUCAAGUGUUGUAUGGCUACACACAAGUCAGCACACAUGGCCACAGCUACCUUAUUGGACGUUAAAGGCAUAGUCGUCUCCACAAGAAAAUGGUAACAGCAGUCACCUCUGGAGAGAAGAACCUCUCUGGAUACCUGGGUAAGAGGAAGAACUGCUCUUCAUUCUAUGCCUUUUUGAGCUUUUCAAAUUUCAUGCCUUGUGCAUUGCCUUUUCUGAAUAAAAUGAGUAAAACAGUUUUACAGCAAUUCUUUACAGUAACUUCUUAUUCACUCUGCCAUACAAAUAGGGACGGAUGAUUCAUACAAUGUGAGGACAAUUAUCAGCAACCAAUGACUCUUUCUUACUCCCUGGAGUCUUGUCAUUGCUUAGUAAUUUAAGGAAUCCGUCUCAGGGACAAGCAACAGUUUGCCACUGAGAGAAUGGAGUCAGGUUGGGGACACAUUCCCAAACUGGAAAUUCAUCAAAUUAGAAACAGGGUUUUGUAACUAAUUUAUAGCUGAGAAAAUGAAAUACGAAAGGAUCCUAGCUGGUGGGGAUCCUCUCACACAUCCCUACCAUGAGCUCAGAGAAGCCUCCAUGUCAGGACACAGCCGGAAACUGCAGGGGGCACGUGAAGGCAAAGACAGGAAGAAGAGGACAGGAAGGAGAGGUGAGGAAAGAGGAGGUUUCCAUAAACAGGAAACCACCAGGUGGCCUUUUCACCUCUUAAAUCUUGAGGGAGACAAGCGGAGAACCCCACUCCCAACCAAGAGAGAGGACCUACCGUUUCCCAAUCAGCGGAAUGUGGAAAUGCUCAACAGGACUGAAGUGAGGUUAAACUCUCUUCCUCUAAUUCUUCCCCGAGUGGCAAGAAUGCCCUAUUGGAUACAGCUGCUCCAAACAGUGCUGGAUCUCAGAUUUCUCCACCAUCACCCUUGGCUGACUAGGUCUGGGUAAGGUCUGGAUGUGUGGAGAAUGAGUGUAGCUCCCCUUCCUCCCUUCCUUCUGGCUUUGGUGGGCAGGAACCCUGUGGUCUGGUGCUAGUCUUUAGUGAGGCCGGAUGCCUCGACCUUGGAGCCCUUCCGUGGUCUUUGCUACCAUACAAAUAUCCCUGUCUCAACUUCCUGGCUUCAGGGGUCUUACAGAGGCCCAGUCUGUAUGUGUCCCAUUGACAUAGCUCCCUAGUCUCCUUAAGAAGGCCUGGGGCUUGCAGAAGGAAGUGAGCCAGGCUUGCUCACCUGACCACCUUCUGGGACCUACGCAAUAGUCUGGGCCUGUGGGCUUCUCUGGACUCCCUGUCACCCCAGCCUCAGCAUCUCCAGACACUGGGAACUCUAUUCCCCCAGAAGCCUACCACAACCACGUCUGAUUACAUCUGCAUACUACCACAUUUUUCCCGAGUCUGAUGCAUUGAGGGACUCUAAAGAGACUACAAUUUUCCCAGGCUGUGCCCAAGAAGUAGGGGCAAGGCCCCAGCCCUCAGACCCCCUGAGACUUCUCUGGCUGGUGGUGCGCAUCUCCUCUUCCAGAAGUUUCAACGCAGUGGGGGACAGGCCCAGGUGCCCGCUUCUCACCUCUCUCCCUCUCCUUUUCUCUUAACUACUUUUCUUCUUCCCAUAGCUCCUCAGAGAUGAAACAGGAUGGGAUAUUCAUUGACUAUUCAGUGUCAUAACGGCAGAGCAACAAGACUGGCAGAGGGAAGCCCUGGUCCCACGAAGGCACAAAUCAUUUCCUCAAAAAGAUUAACCAGAAACAGCACAUGAGCAAGUUUCAAAUCGUCACACCCAUUACAAUAAGGAAGACACAAUUUUCAUUUUUACAUUUUUUAUGACAGCUGUUGGCUCAGGCUAAUCAGAAACUAUCUUUAGAGAGGAGGUAUUUCCCAAGGUCACAUGUUUUAAUAUAAUUAGCGUGAGAUCAAAUGGAUGUUAAGGAGUUGGCAUCCAAAAUCUCCACCACACUACUGGCCUUGUGACCAAAAAAAUCCAAAUUCCAAAACACUUUUGGUCCGAACACUUUCAGAUAAGGGAUACUCAGCCCUUAGUGACUCAGGAAAUAACCCAUGAUAAUAAUAUUACUAUACUACUACUUACCAAUAACAAUGACAACAUAAACAGAAGAAGUCUUAAAUCAGAGGAUAACAGUAAUAGUAAUAGCCUAGUUUUUGUUUCUAGGCCAAGGAUUAUGGUUUAAAAUGGACAUAAGCAGUACCAUUAAGUGGUUUUAUUUCAUAGAAUCUCUAAAUGCAGUAGAAUCACAGGGCUGACAGAAGCCUUAGAGACCACUUCCCCAACUCCCCAUGCAACAUUCAUAUGUCCUGACAGCAGUAACAAGCUCUUCUCCAAACUCUGCUUGAAUAUCUCCACAGAAGAGAAGCUCACCACUCCCACAGGUGAUUUUUUUUCUUCUGAGUUCUGAUGGUUCUAAUUCUCUUCCUUACAUUACGUAUUACUUUCUCUCAUUAUAACUUUUUCCCAUUUAUUCAUUUUUUAAAAAGUUGUUCAUGACUAAUCAAACACAGCAGUUUGUAAAGCAUUACAAAGGUUUAUAAAGUAAAAAUUAAGGUUCCCCCACUACGUCCCACCAGAUUCUAUUCCCCAGAGGUGAUCAGAUUCUUUAUACAAUUAAUUUUUUGUUUUUUUGUUUUUUGUUUUUUGUUUUUUUGGGACAGAGUCUCGCUCUUUCGCCCAGGCUGGAGUGCAGUGGCGUAAUCUCGGCUCACUGCAACCUCCACCUCCUGGGUUCAAGUGAGCAUGUCCGGCUAAUUUUUGUAUUUUUAGUAGAGAUGGAGUUUCACCAUGUUGGCCAGGCUGGUCUCGAGCUCCUGACCUCAAGUGAUCCACCCACUUCGGCCUCUCAAAGUGCUGAGAUUACAGACAUGAGCCACCGCGCCCAGCCAGAUACUUUAUAUACUUCUGACAACAGGGCUUGUUUCCUUUAGUAUUGCAUUGUAGACAUAGUUCCAUAUCCUAGAUUGAUAGCUCUGAACGGACAGGCUACAAUUCAUCUAACACAUUCCCCAUAGGUAGGUCUCCAACUGGCCCCAGUUUGGCCUUUUAGUGUCACUUGGAAGAGUCUUAGUUUUUAAAACAUUUAAAGUCAGCUAUCAUGUCGUCACUGAACUUUCUCCAGGCCAAACAUCCUGCGUUCCUAACAUCAUUUCUCAUAUGAUGUGGUUCUAGAUUCCUCCAUAUAUGCUGCACUUUUUCUGGGUCCCCAGACUCCAACAGCAGGUUCCAAGGCAGCAGCUUUGGCCAUUGCAGAAUGAGAGAGGCCGUGCCUCAGUUUCUGCCGGAAGACCUAAGGGACUGCUCAUUUGCCAGGCAGCUGGGUUCCCUCAUCAUUUGCAGUUGGGUGACCAAAUCAUUUCUUUUCUAAACCUCAACACUUUUGAGAGUGGGAGGUAUACAAGUUGAAUGGGACAUGGAGAACCCAGGACCUUCCAGGGUGAAAUAGCCAUUUUUCAUGCAAAAGUUGAAGUCAGUUAAAACUUGAAGGAGUUUCUUUUUUACACCAACUGCUUUUAAACUAAGCUCUCAGGUUAGUUUAGCAACAUACUCAAUAGAGGCAAAAAUGGCCUAAUUUGAAGGUAGAUUUGGUUUUUGAAAACAGUCAAUCUUUAUCACAUAGAGGAAACAUGAGAGACCAACUGCUCUAGCUUCCUUUAUGGUGAAGAACAAGACCCAGAGAGGUAAAGGGUCAUGGUUUAAGGUAAUUCCAUUGAUUAGUGACAUCUUUAUUUAAGAGGGGAAAAAAGGUAUUGAAGAUAUAGAACCAAAAUUCAAACCAGCAGCUAUGUGUAUGAUGUGCCUGUCACAAUGCUAGGGUUUUUAAACAUAUUUUUAUUAAAUCAGUAUUAAUUGAGCACUUACUAUAUGCAAGCCACUGUGUAAUAUGCUUGGGAGGAAAUCCCUGUCCUCAAACAGUUCACCAAUGUCUUCACUCAUGUAACCUAUCAAUAAACCAGCAGGGUCAAUAUUCACAUUUCAUUUUGGGAUAUAUGUGAAUGGAUAGGAGGAAGGCACAUGCAUAAGAAGAAAUGGAGACUCAGAAAAAUGAACUUAUUUGCCGAAAGUCACAAAACAAGUAAGUGGGAGAGCAGAAUUCUGACUCCCUGCCUUACACUAGAAAUCACACCACAGUCUGCUCCGUGCUAGCAUCGAGUUUGGCCUUGGGAAACCUGGUGGAGCCUCAGGAUUGCACCUUGAUUGGUGCAUGGGGUCUGUGAGUCACAGCAGAGGGGGUGGUGACCUCUAUAAACUCUUGCUACCAAUGACUACACCCCUCACAGAGGGAUUGUCUACUAGUGAGAAAAACCAUAGUCUGCUUUAGAUUCCUGAUGUUAUUGUAAGUAGGGAAGACCAUUACACACUGUACAAAGACAUGUUUAACAUAACAACAGCCAGCAUUUGUAAAGGAUCUUUGCAGAUUUCUAAGUGUUUUCACAUGCCUCAUCGCGUUGAAUCUUUACUACCCUAACAGAUGUGCAGCCAUCAUUUUCCCCUACAGACCAGCCAGCGAGGCUGGAGGGUGAGGCAACCUGCCCAAAAUUCCAGAAGUCGUGGACAAGAGCCAGUAUACCAACCCAGGCCUUUUUCUCUAUUGUAAUUAAUUAACUAUCUCCAGCUAUUUCAUUAGCAACACAGUAUGGAAGGUCCUUAUAGAGGGACAGCAUGGAAUACCCUCAUGUUAUUGGUUGAUUGUGGUUUAUGGAAGUAAUGCUAUUCCUUCUUAAGAUGCCUUCAGGAUCGUUUCAACUGUAAGGGAAUAUUCAAUCCUCCCAUCCCAGGCUGAGUCGUCAUCAGAGCGAACAAGCAGCCUGGCUCAAGUUUCCUUCCUUGGUGUUUUCUUAUCUGUCUCCCACCAAUGGCUUAGCCUGUAUGGGUGAGUGGGGUCAGGAAGUGGCAUACAGUCUCUGUUUUUAUUCUCUGUUUGGAAAUUUUCUAAUUAUAGGUCACACCAAGAGUUUCCAUUCCUCCCCCAACAACCCUCCAUGACACUUCACCUUGUUUAUGUAACUUAAUAAGCAAAGACCCAAGGCUUUUUUUUUUUUUUAAGACUUAAACCAUGAAGCUUUUAAUGAGGAAUCAAACUCAUUCCCUUAUCUUUCUGGCUAGUAAAUAGCUGCCUGUUAUCUUCUUAGUGUGUAGCUGAACUUACCAUCUCCUUUCUGGUCAGGGGUUUUAUAGUCUGAUUACGCCUUAGGCUUCCUGUGCAAGCCAUCAGAAGAAGGACCAUUCACACACACACACUACAAAAAAAGGAGAUUUAAGGUAAAGUCCUUUAAAACCCCAGCCUUCAUAGAAUAAAGAGAUGAUAUAUCACAGAAUCAAGAAACAGGAGUCACAGAUUCAAGAUAGAUCUAUCAUGGCAUCUGACACAAUGAAGUUGCCUAUUUAGGGUGUAAAUGAGAGCGAGAUUUUAGUCAAUUGUCAUGCUUUGGAGACUGAAAGCUAAGGGCCAACACUUAAAUAAUUUUAUUCCAAUUCUACCAAGAUUUUUUCCCUAACUUAACUGACUAAAAAGAUUAUAAAAUUUAUGUCACCUUAGCCUAGGAUCCUCUGGAAAUACAUUCAGUAAUAGUAACUUUUAGACAAAAUUUGACCAGUAGCCAUAAACCAAAUCCACAGAACAAAAUGAAAAAUAUCCUACUUUUAAGAGGCAAAAAGACAUUCUUAAGCCAAAUGUUAUUAAAGCAAAAAACAACUAUGUAGGAAAUAUUCUGUGCUUUUCCCUACCAGCAGUGUUCAAGCAGAAAUCACUUCUGCAGAACUACUGAACAAUGAAGGCUGGAAAGGAAAUAUAAAAGAAGUGGUAUUUUGGUAAAAAGAUCCUGACCCUGAGGAUUCGUACUAGUAUUAAGUGUUAUAAAAUUAACCUUUCAACUGUCCUCUGGGGUCUGAAGAACGCAGCUAAAUGAAGGAAAACUAAUUCAUGAAACAGGCUGCCAAGGAGGAUCAAGGAAGGAGCUUGCUAUUCAGGAAGCUCAAGAAACAGCACCCAAGCAGGGAUGCAGGGCCCAGAAAGAAAAAAUUUAACUGAUUCCAGAAAAGUCAUUGAGCUUUGCUAAAGAAGGAGUCGUGGCAGCCUCACUACCAAACAUUUGUACCUACCUCCUCCUCCAUGUGGUGAGGAGGAUUUGAGGCCUGGCACGAAAGCAAGGCCAUCACCAUCACCAUUAUUGCUAUUAUCAGGGAAUCCCCAAGCAAUGUCCAUUCAAGAGAUGUUUGAAGCCUUACGCAGAUAUUUUCCAGCCUUUGAGUUUUUUGACCCCUUUUUUCUUUAACCUUUGUUCCAUUUUGAUACAUGGAAAGAUCCUACUCCACUGUCUCAGCUAGAUUUCAGUAGGUUUUUCUGUGUGGGAAUGUCUCUACAUAUCUCUGAGCAGUCUAUCUUCUGUGUAGGUGCACCAGCAGGAAGAAUUUGUUGAUCUUUACUAUUGUAAAAUAAAUAUAUAUUUUUAUUAUUCAGUAUAAUACAGAAUAUUUUAUGUAUAUAAUAUUAUGUUGCUUUAUAUUUCAUUGCUUAAUAUAUUAUUGUAUUGAGUACAUUAUUUCCCAAGCAUACACAACUUUCUCCUCUCCCCAAAAUCCUUUACCACGCCCUUUAUAAAAAUCACUACUUUAGGACUUAGUCUAGGAGAAUUAUCUCAUUUGUGAUGUACAUUGCAGGGUGAUUUUCUAAAGGAAGCAGGACUUUGUGAGCUUGCUGCAUUCCUGUGAAAAGAAGUAAAAUAGGAACAUAAGGCUAAUGUAGAGAAAAGUUGGAGGAAGGGCUAAUGAGAUUAAUUAGAUAGACAGAUAGAUAGAUUUAUUUUAAACAUAAAUAAACAUCACGCUCUUUAGUCCCUCAAUACAUAAAAGUGGUCACUUGAGCCACCAGAGCUACAAUGAAUGAAUCCAAUACACUUUAAUGUAAUCGCCAUGUCUACCUCACAGUGCUUUUAGACAAAUUAGCAAAGGGCACCCCUUCCUCAAGGCACUUUACUUUCAUCUUCUGGAAAUCAUUGAAAUAUACUGAUAUUUUUUAAGAACAAGAAACUCCCAUCUGCUUUAAAACUUGCAUGUAAAUUUGUACAAAUCUAUAAUACUUAUGAUGCGAAUCAUACUCUGUAGAAAGUCCUCUGUUCAGUCCACAGCUUGCUCAGGGACACCCAGCUCCCCUGGCAUCGCUUGUGUAAUGCCCUUCACCACAACCAUGAGGAGCUGUGUUUGUUUUACGCAAGGCUUCAUCUAACUCAGUUCCUGGUACACAGUAUGUUCUCCAGAUAGCAAUUGAAUGAUGGAAUGAAUGUGUGAAGAAAAAAAUGAAUGAAUGAAUGGCCCCUCUUUAACACAAAAAUCUAUUGCAAAAGUGAAAAAUCAGUACAACUAAUGUUUACUGAGCACCUACUAUGCAUCAGGCCCUGUGCUAAGCAUAUAUGUGCAUUCUCAUUAAAAUCCUGUGAGGUACAGAUUUUUACUCUUCACAGAAGUUAAGUAACUUGCUACAGUCAUUCAGCUGGUGACUCACAAACCACGGGACCAGAUAAUCACAUUCCUAACCACUACACUGGCAAGUCGGCCUGUAUCCUGUCGUGCUCCAAGGGGGAGCUACACCUUUUGGAAACACAGAGUUCCCUUGUGUGGCCAGGCCAAGGAAGAGAAGGCAUCCGAGAUCCCGUGGCCAUGAUGAUUUCCUUUUCUGUCUGUAAAAACAAAGUUACUCUCUUCAUGCAACUUAACCAGUAAUGAGGUCAGAUCACACAAUAUUCCUAGUCCUGGCCUGCAUACCCAGCACUCACCUUUGAAAUCAGUUAGCAGCGAGUCAUUAAGCUACAGAAUAAGAGCCCUCGCAUCACCUGUGGGUGCAACACCUGGGCUAAUAGCACCCUCUGAAAUGUCCUGGCCACUAGAUGGCACUGAAGCUCAAAUGUCACAGAACUAUACGAAACACGUCCCGCCAUGUUUUAGGUAAGACAAUAGCAACAAUAACCAGAACAGCAACAUUAUUAAAUACUUAUGAUAAGCUAGGUACUCUUCCAAGGUCUCUAUUUGCAUUAUCACAUUGAAUCCUCACAACUCUAUGGGGUGACUUCAUUAUUAUCGCCAUUUUGCAGACAAACAGAUUUAGAAAGUCAAGUAUCUUGGCCAAGGUCACACCGCUAGUAAGAGGCAGAGCAGAGAUUUUAGCUCAGGCAACCUGACUCCAAAGCUCAACAUUCCUAACACUCCACUGCCAUUUCCUGCUACACUAUCAUUGUCCUUUCACUUAGCUGCUGAGCACAUGUUCAGUAUCCACCACAGAUUAUUUUUGAAACUCCUUUUGGAAAAUCCUCUCUCAUGAGGGAAAAAGAAAACCUGCAUUCAGGCCACAUAAGCACAUCAGGCACAAGCCAAGAUUCAGAUGUACUGGAGCUAUUUGCUCAAGGGCGCAACCUCAAAAGAAUAUCAUCCUGGUGGUGAAGAAAUGGGUCACAGCCUGUGGUGCAGCAAAGCAAAGUCAGCUGGAUCCAGCUGCAAGGUCUCACAUGUUAGAAAGAGCCCCUAGGAAGACGGCCAAGGGCAAGCCCUGGCUCCUCCUUACUCAUCAUGAUAUCUAGAGCAUGACACUUAAGCAUCUGGAGCCUCUGGUAUUGUAUCUGUUAAAAGGGGGGAAAAUGCAUGCCUUGUCUUCUCUACUGGGUAAAAGUAAAAUGUAUAAAGUGUUCACUGUGGUCAUUUCAGAGUUAAGUAUAAUAUCAUUAAAAGCCUUCAUUACCCCUUUUCACCUAGGCAACAUCCUUUGCCUUCUUGCCCCAUAAUUCCUUUUAUAACCCAAGUCUGUUUCCAGAGAACUGUUCUCAAAGCAUAGAUCUUACCAGAUCUGCUCCCCCCAGCCCUGCCAAUGACUCUAUCUUCAAUUCCAAACAUAGCAGCUAAGGUCUUCCAUCACCCACUUGCAACCUGCCUCUUCUUCCUCAUCUCUCCCAACUUCGCCUUUCCUUCACCUUAUGCACAACUGGACCAGAUGCUUUGCUGUUCCCAAACAUUCUUAUUUCUCUGCCUCUGCAUCUCUGCUCAGAUAUUCCUUCCACCUGUCCAUGGUUUGUGCUGCCCAACGUCAGAGCUAUUGGGCUUUUAAUUAGAGCUUAUGCUCUUCCUUUAAGGAAUGACUCCCCUGGCAUUGCAUUGGCCAAGAGAUGGGUAUAUGACCCAGGUAAGACCUCUCAGUCCCUCUUCCCUUGAAAUUUGUACCUUAAGAGAAGUGACCCAACCCAAAAGCACUGGAGUUGACUCAUCCUUAUAGACCAUACUCUGAAAAAAACAUUGCCAUCAAUCCCUAGUACAUCAAUCUAUAACAUGUUUCCUUAAAGGUACAGCUUUUUACUUCAAUUCAGGAGCUAUCUCCACAAUCCCCAACAGAUUCCCCCUGGUGGUGGUGGUGUUUUUUUAAUUUUUUUUUCUCUUCAAUUAGCCAGAGUUCAUAUCUGCUUCUUGCAGCCACUAAAUAAUCCUUCAAGGUUCAGUUCAAAUGGCAAUUCUUCAUAAAGCCUCAUUUAGGCACAUUUUAUAGCAGUUAUUUGUAUACACUUCUGUUUUCCCUCUGCAUUAUUAGCUCCUUAAAGACAGGGAUCAGGACUUGUUCAUCUUCGUACCCCAACUGCCCCCAGUGGACCAGAAACGUGGUCAUUUUUUGGUAAAUAUUUAUUGACUUGAAUGGCAAACCAGUUAAGAAGGAGAAUUUAAAGUACUUUGUAGGAUUCAGUGGUAUUUUAAUCCUGUGUUUUGUAGUGUUCAUGCAUGCUGUUAUCUAAUAAAAUUUGUUUUUCUAGAGAAAUCAUCUAUCCAAAUUCUACAACCAUUAUCACAUUUUCAAGACAGCCUGAGGCUUACAGUGAAUUUGAGAGUUCUCCUCAGAUCCAGAGUCUUCUAACUUUUGCCCUGCUUCCCCUCUCUGCUGAAAUGUCAGGGCUCUGGCAGCUGCCAUUAUCAGAUCCCAAACAAGCGUGUGAAUAACAAUGGGAAGUGUGACAAUUCCCUAGGUUGUUUUUUUUUCUUUAAGCCUUCACAGGAAGAGCUUGACUAUGGCGAAUUCUAUGUUUAGACUGUAGUCUUUUGUAUUUAGUUUAGCAAACUGCAUUUCAAGGCCCCUAGGAUGCAAGUUAUACUCAUUAUAAUGCACGAAUAAUUUCCCCUUCAACAUGAUUUUCACAUCAGAAUGAUAAAGGACAACCAAAUGAUGAGAAUGAACUGUUGCAGUAUGAAACUGACCCACAGCUUACGUAAAACUGUAAGUGAGCACAAUUGAAUGUUUAUUGAAGCAUAUUUAUAAAUACUAUCAAACCAAACAUGAUUCCUGUUAUCUCUAAUGAAAAAAUUAUACUUUUCCUUUUUCCUGACAAGGAAUGAGGGGAAGGGAUAGGGAGAAGGGAAGCUGACAGCAAGGUUUCUUACCCCACUGCUCCCUCUCCAUCUAAUUAAGAAGUCUGCUGAUUGGGGCAGUCCCCACGGCAGCAGCCACCUAGCAGAAGUGCAGGGAAAGCCUUAGAUCUGCUUACUUUCCACUAUAUUAGGCACCCCUGCUUUACAUUCUAUGAGUUGUCCACUCCCAAUAAUUACUUCUUUCUGAACACCCAUCUUGACAAGAAUGAAAAGCCAUCACAAAAGGCUAUUUUCCAAAAGAAAAAGUUCAAGUAUCUUCUCUUUUCACAUCCAUACUUCCAAACAUUGUCCUUUAACACAGCAAAUGAUAAGGUUAAACUUGGCCUAUGCUCCAAGUAUAAAAGCCAAGGACAUUACCUACGCAUAAAAAUAAAAUGAACUAUCUGGGAAAAUGAAGUAGACGUACUUUUCCCUAUUCCUCCCACUAGCUACAACUAAAAACCCCAGACAUUAUGCAUAAAGCAAAUAUAAAAAGACUGAAAGGUGGGGAGAAGAAGGCAGACUGGCUGGGGAUCUUAGGACCCAAGGAAAGACAUGGUGGUAAGUUGCCUUAUGGAUCCCAGACAAGAAGCUAAAGAGUUCAGCAAUCCAGAAAUGCAAAUGAGUUCUGACUUUUAAAUGCCUCAACAAAAGCCUGUUCUCACUAACCAAAAGACCAGGAAAGGGACAACCUAGCAAAACAGAAAACCUUUAGACAAUAACCAUUCUACUUCAACCAAACACCACAAACAAAACCUUACUCCCACACAUACCAGCAAAGGCUGAGAGGGGAGCCUAGACUUCACCCUCAAGAGGCUAUAACACAGUGGCUGCUAUGGUUUGAAUAUUUGUGUCCCCUCCAAAAUUCAUAUUGAAACAAUCCCCAUGGCAAAGUAUUAAGAGAUGGGACUUUUGAAAGGUAAUUAAGCCCUAAGGGCUCUACUUUUUUUAUCCCUUAUAAAAGGGCCAGAGAGGUAGGUAGGCCCUUUUUGCUCUUCCAUCUUUCUGCCAUGUGAGGACACAGCAUUUGUCCCUUCCAUAGAUGCAGCAAUAAGAUGCCAUCUUGGAAGCACAGACGGACCUCUCUCUCGUGAGACAUCAAACCUGCCAGCGCCUUGAUCUUGGACUUUCAGCCUCCAGAACUGUGAAAAAUAAAUUUCUGUUC